UGGUGAGCUUCGCAAACUUGGAGAAACACCACGGACUCUUUUUUCAGUACCAGGGGCCAAACUCAGGACCUUGCAUUUGGGAGGCAGGCGCGGUACCACUGAGCUAGACCCCAGCCCAGCACCACCGGACUCUGACCGUCACUUUCCCUAUCCACUGUUCCCUUGCUGCAGUGGACACGGGCAGCAUUUUACAAUGCGGCCGACCCGUGGGGUGACCUAGGGUCCCCUUCCCCUCCUCCUCCUCCUCCUCCUCCUCCUCCUCCUCCAGCUCCUAUUCCUUCUUCCCCUUCCCCUUCCCCUUCCCUUUCUCCCUCGCUGUGUCCCUCUCCCUCUCCUUUUCCUUCUUCGCCUUCUUCUUCUUUUUGAGCCAGGGUUUCUCCGUGUAGUUCAGGCUGGCCUUGAACUCACUGUGUAGCCCAGGCUGGCCUCAGACUUGUGGUAAUACUCCUGCCUCGGUCUCCCGAGGGCUGGCAUCACAAGCGCCCACCCCAUGCCCGCCUUCUGCUCCUUUAGGAAAUGUGAUGUCGUCGUUUCAGAACAUCCACCCCAUGCUGACCAAGGAGCAAUCUACCCACCAGCACAAUGAAAAGCACUGCACAUCUUUCGGCUGCAGAUGCGAGGAUGAAGAAGGGAGCGAGUGAGGGAGGACAGGGAGGCUGGUGACUUAUACGCUCUCUAUAGAAUGAAUCUCCCUUGUUCUAAUACUGGGGACAAUCGAAAGCCGUCUGCUUUGAGCCAUUUAGCACAUACAGUAGGCUUAUAAAGGACCACUCAGGUCCGGGGAGCUGAACUCAGGUUACUUACAUCAGACUUGCAGAAGUGUCACCAUUGUGCCAGGCUUCAGGAGUGCCCUUGAGAGCACAGUGUCCUAGGGAGGGAGCUGCCAGCUGAACCCAGCAGAGCCCAGCCAUCUAACAUUCAGGGCCUGGUGAGGGAAGGCCUGCCGCGUGUCAGGUCAUUGUCCACACUCAGCUCCCAUCCCAUAUGGAUCAGGGAGUUGGAUUCUGCCCCAGACUUCUGUGAGAGGUGUGUGCUAACACUUAGCUCCAGGCCUGCGUGAAAUAGGCUUCGUCCUUCUCCCAUAGUUUUCUAUGCAUAGCUACCCAAUGGCAUUAUCUAUAAAGGUGAGAUCAGAACAUUGUAGAUCCUGAGGUGGAAGCCUCUCCACAUGGGCUUCUGCAGCCCUGUGUCCUAACCCAGGCUUGAGGUAGACAACGGUGGAGCCAGCAGCAAAGACGCCCCAGGGUCUCUGUGCCCCUGAGUCCUAGCCCUCACCUGGACACACCCACGGAAGCUGGGAUUUGCAUAUCCUAGUGAGAAGAUUUUGGUUCCCUUCAUGAGGGAAUUCACUUGCAUGUAGGCUUGGGACCAAGAUGUGAAGAAAAGGAAGAAAUGAUGAUCUUCAUGAAGACAUUUGCAGAACAAUUGCAGUGUUUUAAUUUUCUUGCAAGAUUUCACAGAAACUCUCUUUUUGCAAUCAAAGGAUUAGCUGCCCUGAGAACCAGGAGGACACCUGCAAGAGUUGUGCUGUGCGGGGCUCUCAGCAUGAAGACGAGGCUCCUGCUUCCCUCCACACGGACCUCAGAUGGAGAAAGUGAAGGUCCUUGGGCUGUUUCUGGGGUGAGGGGCUGGGGGCCUCCGCAGCAUGAGCAGGUGCUGAGACUCAGCAGGGCUCUUGGUGCUGGUGGGGCAGUGCUCAGCUGGGGCAGGACAGGAUGGGGCUUCCUUUCUCCUGCCACAGCUCUGCCUUUAGGUCCACAGGCCUAGGUCAGCGCCCUGCCCACCUGCUCCAUACCACACGCUGUCUGGGAGGACCAGGUGCCUCAGACUCCUGUAGUUGGGACCACCCGGAGGGUGCAAUUCAAUUAUCUUGGGCUUCAGAGACCCACAGAAUCCACCACCCGGCCCCCACUCCCUAGCCAGGUAAUUAAAUGAAUGAUGCAAAAAAGGAAAAAGGAUUGGUCAAGCUUUUUUGGAUGUAACUGAAAAGCAUACUUUCUCAUCUUUUAUAUUCAUCCCAACAAAGGUAACCCUAUUUUAAAGCCCUGUAUUUGUAUCCUGUGUGACCGAGACUAAUUUAACCCAAAGUAAGACAAGCGUCACGCUCCGCCUGAGGCCAGCGGCCGCUCCUGCCUCUUGUGAGCAUCACUCACCUCAAACUCUCACACAUUGUAAUACUCGAGAAGCUUAGGCCUGGAAGGGCUGUGUCUCCGUGGGUCGACCCAGGAGACUUUGCACAGAAUUGUCCCUUUACAUGAAGUCAGUGUCAGGCACAGCCAAAAGUUUUUGGGUUACCUCUUUGUAAAUCAACAGUUGAGAUUGUUGUUGUGCGUACGUGGGUGUGGCUGGAAUCAAAUGCCCUCUGUGACCAACAGUUCUUUCUUCACACUGCACUGCUUUCAUGCUGGUUCUCAUGAAUAAAACAUAUUCACAUGACAGCUUGUACUUUUCCGU
ensembl:lncRNA